rnacentral:rRNA from 1 species
UACCGAGGUCCCAAGCGUUGUUCGGAUUCACUGGGCGUAAAGGGUGCGCAGGUGGGCUGGUAAGUUCGAUGUGAAAGCCCCGGGCUUAACCCGGGAAUGGCAUUGGAUACUACUGGUCUGGAGGAUUGGAGGGGGGACUGGAAUUCUUGGUGUAGCAGUGAAAUGCGUAGAUAUCAAGAGGAACACCAGUGGCGAAGGCGAGUCCCUGGACAAUACCUGACACUGAGGCACGAAAGCCAAGGGAGCAAACAGG